UCUUCAGGGCCACCUGGGAAGGGGCUCUGGAAUGGCCUCUGGCAUCCAGGGAGUCGGAGGGGAAGGAAUUCCUGAUUCCCAGCUCCUGAGAGACAUCCAUGGGGACAGGAGUCUCCUGCUCUUCAGAUUGAGCAGGGAACAGGAUCUGGAAUGGCCUCUGGCAUCCAAGGAGUCAGAGGGAAAGGAAUUCCUGAUUCCCAACUCCUGAGAGACAUCCACAGCUCCUGCUCUUCAGAUCCAGCAGGAAUUGCUGAAUCCCUGGAUAUCCCCGGGGACAGGAGAUCCCACUAAUCCCAAAACCCUGGUGUCCCAAUUGUCCCAACACUCCCUGAGCUCUGGAAUCACGGAUUCCUGGAAUAUCCUGAGUGGGAAGGGACCCCUGGUCCAACUCCUGGCCCUGCACAGGACACCCCAGAAUUCCCACAAAUCCCAAAAUCCUGAUGCCCAGGAAUGUUGUCUGAGCUCUCCCUGACCUCUGGAAUCACGGAAUAUCCUGAGUGGGAAGGAAUCCACGAGGAUUGAGCCCCCAAAAUUCCCACAAAUCCCAAAAUCCCGACGCCCCGGGAUCGUUAUCCCGACAGCCCCCCCCUUCUAAAAUCAUGGAAUGCCGGAAGGAUCACAAAAUCCUGGAAUAUCCUGAGUGGGAAGGGACCCACAAGGAUCAUCCAGUCCAAUUCCUGGCCCAGCACAGCCCCAAAAUUCCCACUGAUCCCAAAAUCCCAAUUCCAGGAAUGUCAUCCCCGAGCUGUGGCUUCCUGGUAUUCCAAGCGCUUCCCUGGGCUCAGCAUUCCCGGGAAUUGGGGCUCCUCCAGCUCCAGGGAAUUCCCCCUUUUGGGAAUGAGGUGCUUGGAGUAAAAACCAAGAGAGUUUUAUCCUGGA